rnacentral:rRNA from 1 species
CCAAUAGCGUAUAUUAAAGUUGUUGCAGUUAAAAAGCUCGUAGUUGAAUUUCGGGAUUAGUACGCUGGUCGUGCCUUUGGUAUGUACUGGUGUUACUGAUUCCUACCUUCUGACGAACCGUCAUGUCAUUCAUUUGGUGUGGCGGGGAAUCAGGACUGUUACUUUGAAAAAAUUAGAGUGUUUAAAGCAGGCUCGCGCUUGAAUACAUUAGCAUGGGAUAAUGAAAUAGGACGUUUGAUCCUAUUUUGUUGGUUUCUAGGAUUGACGUAAUGAUUAAUAGGGAUAGUUGGGGGCAUUAGUAUUCAAUUGUCAGAGGUGAAAUUCUUGGAUUUAUUGAAGACUAACUACUGCGAAAGCAUUUGCCAAGGAUGUUUUCAUUAAUCAAGAACGAAAGUUAGGGGAUCGAAGACGAUCAGAUACCGUCGUAGUCUUAACCAUAAACUAUGCCGACUAGGGAUCGGAUGAUGUUAAUUUUUUAAUGACUCAUUCGGCGCCUUACG